AACGAACGCUGGCGGCAUGCCUAACACAUGCAAGUCGAACGAGACCUUCGGGUCUAGUGGCGCACGGGUGCGUAACGUGUGGGAACCUGCCCUUAGGUUCGGAAUAACUCCCCGAAAGGGGUGCUAAUACCGGAUAAUGUCUUCGGACCAAAGAUUUAUCGCCUUUGGAUGGGCCCGCGUUGGAUUAGCUAGUUGGUAGGGUAAAAGCCUACCACGGCGACGAUCCAUAGCUGGUCUGAGAGGCUGAUCAGCCACACUGGGACUGAGACACGGCCCAGACUCCUACGGGAGGCAGCAGUGGGGAAUAUUGCACAAUGGGCGAAAGCCUGAUCCAGCAAUGCCGCGUGAGUGAUGAAGGCCUUAGGGUUGUAAAGCUCUUUUACCCGGGAUGAUAAUGACAGUACCGGAAGAAUAAGCGCCGGCUAACUCCGUG
rnacentral:rRNA from 1 species